CAAUUAGCUUCUAGAUAUCACACCUUGGGUAUUUGCGUUUCCCGGUUGAUAAUUGAGUGUAUAGUUAUAGAGAGUGUAUGGGAUAAGUUUCGGGACCGCAAAUCUCCCAGGUUCUUCACGCGAAUCCCCGCACCUCUGUACCCUUCCCUUCGAAGCUGACGCAUCGUUUGUGCAUACGCUGAAUUAAGAGCGUGUCUCGGCGCUUCUUAAUUUCUCCCCCGAUUCUGUUUCGCGUGUACACCCGACAACCGGUUAAGUCCGGGCGAUCUCGUUAAUCAAAAUUGAAGCUCAGACGGUUUUUGGCGGUAAGCUCUUCACGCCACGCGGACUUAUUUGCUCGUGAAAAGCAAACAUGAGAACAUGAAAGCCUGACACGGGAUGAUGCGAUAGCCGUGUUUUAUCUUCAUCAAGUUCGUGUAUCGAAGAAAAACAACAAACAACCUUCGAUCACCUUGCCAUUGGAAUGUCCGCAACCUACGUACACGUUGACAGACGAGUCCAUGUGCAAGUCUUUUUUCUCUAUUAAGGUGCGAAGACAAAUAUUGAAGGAGUUUUGGAUCAGAAUUAAAACGCGUUGAUGAUGGUAUUCUCUAGCAUGUGACCCGUACCCUGAAGAUCACUCGACUCAAAGACGCCAAGGGGAAUAUCAUUACAAAUCAUCGUUACACCGUUACCAACUUUCCAUUGAAACGCAUAGCCCGCCCUCUACGGCAACCCAUUGAAUGUAUGUCACCAUGGAGCCCGUGAGCCCCGCGAACCUGUACGAUGAU